UAGGGAAUAUUGCGCAAUGGGGGCAACCCUGACGCAGCGACGCCGCGUGAGCGAUGAAGGCCUUCGGGUCGUAAAGCUCUGUUGAAAGGGAAAAAGAUCUGAUUGUACCUUUCGAGAAAGGAUCGGCUAACUUCGUGCCAGCAGCCGCGGUAAGACGAGGGAUCCUAGCGUUGUUCGGAAUUAUUGGGCGUAAAGAGGGCGUAGGUGGCUUUGUAAGUCGGGUGUGAAAGCCCAGGGCUCAACCCUGGAAGUGCACUCGAUACUGCGGAGCUUGAAUGUGGUAGAGGCUACUGGAAUACCUGGUGUAGUGGUGAAAUACGUAGAUAUCAGGUGGAACACCGGAGGCGAAGGCGGGUAGCUGGACCAACAUUGACACUGAGGCCCGAAAGUGCGGGGAUCA
rnacentral:rRNA from 1 species